GCAUAUUCGUGUAGAGGCGCAUGGUGGAUGCCUUGGGAUAUCAGGGCGAUGAAGGACGUGGCGUGACUGCGAUAAGCUUCGGGGAGGUGUCGAGCAACCUUUGAUCCGGAGAUAUCCGAAUGGGGAAACCCGUUUGCGCAAAACGCAAACAGCCUUGUCGAAUGACGGGGCGGCAAACCCGCUGAAGUGAAACAUCUUAGUAAGCGGAGGAAAAGAAAUCAUUCCCUUAGUAGCGGCGAGCGAACAGGGAGAAGUCUAAACCUAUAUUCAGCAGCAAUGCUGGAUAUGGGGGUUGCAAGAUAGAGACGCAUCGCAAGAUGGGGAGUAAUAGAAAUCAAAACUUCCGUAGCAGAAGACGCCUGGAACGGCGCGCCAAAGAGGGUAACAGCCCCGUAUGCGAAACGGGUUUUGAUACUCCUCGUUUCUACUCUUAAGUACCGCGGGAAACGAAUGCCCCGCGGGAAUCCGGCCGGACUGUUUGGCCAAGACUAAAUACCUGAUAUCACCGAUAGUGAACCAGUACCGUGAGGGAAAGGUGAAAAGUAGCCCGAUGAGGGCGGUGAAAUAGAACCUGAAACCAUGUCGCCUACAAAGAGUCGGAGCUCCGGUAGCAAUACCGUGAGUGACGGCGUGCUUUUUGCAGAACGAGCCAACGAGUUUCUUUUGUCAGUUUGUCUAAGUGCUUCUGGCACGGAGGCGCAGGGAAACCGAGUCCAAAAGGGCGUCUAUGACUGACGGAGGAAGACCCGAAGCCAAUGCGAGCUUGCCAUGGCCAGGAUGAAGGCCGACGAAAGUCGGCCGGAGGUCCGAACCCGUGAGCCGUGCAAUACUCUGGGAUGAGCUGUGGCAAGAAGUGAAAAGCUAAUCGAGCUUGGGAAUAGCUGGUUCUCUCCGAAAUAGCUUUCGGGCUAGCGUCAUCUAUGUCUUCUGGAGGUAGAGCUCUGGAAAGAAUAAUCUUGGAGCAAUCCAGAUAUUCUUACCAAACUUCAAAUGCCGGAAGUCUGAGGAUGGCAGUAAGAACACGGGGGCUAAGCUCCGUGCUCAAAAGGGAAACAGCCCAGAUCUUCAUCUAAGGUCCCUAAAUCAGACUCAGUGUACUUAAGGAGGUGAAAUUCCAAAGAUAGCGAGGAGGUUCGCUCAGAAGCAGCUAUCCUUUAAAAAGUGCGUAACAGCUUACUCGCUCAGGAGUUUCGCGCCGAAGAUUCAUCGGGACUAAAGUCUGAUACCGAAGAUAAGAGCCUCGCUUUCGAGCGGGGCGGUAGGAGAGCGUCUCCAUCGCAGCGAAGCCUGAACGUGAGUGAAGGUGGAGCGAUGGGGAGUGAGAAUGUUGGCAUGAGUAACCGCAAUGACAGUGAAAGCCUGUCACACCGUAAACCCAAGGAUUCCUUGGCAAUGAUAAUCAACCAAGGGUGAGGCGGGCCUUAG
rfam:Parcubacteria (Giovannonibacteria) bacterium GW2011_GWB1_47_6b TY02_C0030, whole genome shotgun sequence.